GACGAACGCUGGCGGCGUGCUUAACACAUGCAAGUCGAGCGGUAAGGCCCUUUCGGGGGUACACGAGCGGCGAACGGGUGAGUAACACGUGGGUGACCUGCCCUCAGCUCUGGGAUAAGCCUGGGAAACCGGGUCUAAUACUGGAUAUGACUCCAUGACGCAUGUUGUGGGGUGGAAAGCCUUGUGCGGCUGAGGAUGGGCCCGCGGCCUAUCAGCUUGUUGGUGGGGUGANGGCCUACCAAGGCGACGACGGGUAGCCGGCCUGAGAGGGCGACCGGCACACUGGGACUGAGACACGGCCCAGACUCCUACGGGAGCAGCAGUGGGGAAUCUUGCGCAAUGGGCGAAAGCCUGACGCAGCGACGCCGCGUGAGGGAUGACGGCC
rnacentral:rRNA from 1 species